rnacentral:rRNA from 1 species
AUUGAACGCUGGCGGCAUGCUUUACACAUGCAAGUCGAACGGUAACAGGCCUUCGGGUGCUGACGAGUGGCGAACGGGUGAGUAAUGCAUCGGAACGUGCCCAAUCGUGGGGGAUAACGUAGCGAAAGUUACGCUAAUACCGCAUAAGCCCUGAGGGGGAAAGUGGGGGACCGCAAGGCCUCACGCGAAUGGAGCGGCCGAUGUCAGAUUAGCUAGUUGGUGGGGUAAAGGCCCACCAAGGCGACGAUCUGUAGCGGGUCUGAGAGGAUGAUCCGCCACACUGGGACUGAGACACGGCCCAGACUCCUACGGGAGGCAGCAGUGGGGAAUUUUGGACAAUGGGCGCAAGCCUGAUCCAGCCAUGCCGCGUGCGGGACGAAGGCCUCGGUUGUAACCGUACGUUCUAGCCGGAAGAAAGUACGCCGUUUUAAUUACUAGACGGUGGAGUGACGGUACCGGAA